AGAAAGAAUAGCAAAUGCCCUUCCCCAGCCCCCACUCCCCAGCAUUUUGCAAUAUUGGAGAAAACCACUUCUACAACAACAGACCAGCAGAUAACACGGUUAUCUAGAGAAGAUGAAGAAGCAGAGGGACUCCACGAAGACUGCCAUGACCCUCAGGGCCAAGAGAACAAGACAUUGAUAUUCAGUGAUAUUAGUGGAAGAGUGAUUCCCACAGACAAAGAGAGCAGAACCAAGAGAACAUUGUGCACAGGGACAGCAAUAUUGUUUGAUGAAGAACUGU